UCCCCUCUCUGUGAUCUUUACCCUGA
rnacentral:piRNA from 1 species